AAGUCGUAACAAGGUUUCCGUAGGUGAACCUGCGGAAGGAUCAUUUCUAAUAAGAUGCAUACAGGAUACAUCCAAAGGUGUUUCUGGCAUCACAAAACUGUGAACUGUUAAUAUCAUAACCUUAAAGCAUGCUUACGUAAUUUUCUAUAUGCUAGUUUCGAAAGGAACUUCAUUCAAAACAAAUACAACUUUUGACAAUGGAUCUCUUGGCUCUU
rnacentral:misc_RNA from 1 species